CAGGUGUCCUUCAUUAGUCAAGACUGUGAAGAAAUUCCAGAAUUCCUAGGAACAAAAUAUGGACGUAUGGCAAAAAGACUAGAUCUUAGCUUCAACUUGUUAAGUGGCAUUUCAACAGGAACCAGAUGUGAUCUGGGUAAUGUAUAAGGAAAACUUGUUUUUUCCCUUUGAAAACUUUAAAUAAUAUUAGAAAAUACUUUCAAGGUAUACCUUGUCUCACAUACAAUAGCCAUGUCUGUGUUCUGUUAUUUUAUCAUCUUUAAAUACUUUCUGACUACAGAAUAUUUGCCUUUACAAAGUAGUAUUUAUGUAUGUUUCUGUGACUCUUAUAUUUUCCUGCUGUGUCUUAUUUGCAGUCAUUGGUUUAUUGCUGAUAUGAAGGGGACCAGUGAAUGACUAAAUUAAAAAAAUAUCAAAUUAAUGGCUUAUAGUAUGUAUUCACUGAUUUCAGUAUGUGCCAGGGAUCUAAGUUGUUUUUUUUUUGAUGGAUAAGUUAUUUUUCCAAACUCAGUAAUAUAUAAGAACAAACUUAGAGUAUAAAUUGUUGUAUUUCAAUCUUAUACUGGUGGCUGUUAUCUUCCUUAGACCCAACAGCCUCUCUUUUUGUCCAUUGAUCCUUGUGUGACUUUUUACGGCCACGUAGUCACUAACGGACUGUGAAAACCCUGUAGUAUAUAUACCUCUGACCCCCAGUGCUGGCCAUUAUCCACUGAUUUACCCUAUCUGACAGAUCAGAACCUAAGAUUGUUUUCUCUUCUGCUUUUGUCAAGAAGGCUUAACAUUGUGGAGGGAGUUGUCUUGAGACUGUAUCAUGUGGCAGAAUUGGGCAAAAGCUGGUUACCUGAACCUAUGGUGGGGGUUCAAUUUAUGUUCAUAUUGUGUAGUGGAGAAUUCUUGGGAGGAUUACUAGAGCUGUUAAAUCUGGUAAAAAUGUUAAAACGUACUGCACAAUUUGACAUUAAGUAAAAUAAGGCUGUGAGCUUGAACUGUUACAUCCUUAAAUAUACCUUGUGAAUAUUGCUGUGAUGGAUGAUGCAAAUUGUUUUUUUUUUUUUGGUGACAUCCAUCUCUAAGGGGCUGUUGGCAAUCAUGAGUAAAGGUGAAAUCUGUACUCCUGAACAAAGGUGAGUAACAAACUCCUUGAACACUUGAACACAGGUGUGUUGACUUGAACACAGGUGGAUGUCAUAUUAAGCAUCCAUUGACUCAAAGCUGUUAAGACAUUUUGACUGAGGUGAAGCAUUUCCCAGUGAACUGAUGUUUGCAUCACAUCCUUUUCUUUGUGUUUGAAUGAAUGGGGAGUGAACUGCUUUCUCUUGACCUGCUUUCCUGUGUGAGACUAAAGUUGGUUUUUGGAGUGAUGUCGGAGACUUAAGUCCACACAGUCUGUGCUUGUUCUCUGGGUCCAUGGAGCACAGUCAAUCCAGCUCCUCUUCUGAGAACUGAAAUCACUCUUAAACAAAAAUUAGUUUUUGUUUUUGAAUUCUGUUCUGAUUGACAGGAAUCUGUGUCAGGUUGAGAGAAAAUAGUUAAUAAAUGGAAGACUACUGCAAUCUAUGGAAAGUAUUUGCAUUUGGAGGAGAAAUAGUUUGAUGCAUUGGUUUUAGCUUUAAAAGAAUGACAAUAGUUUGCAAUUAAUGUCUUGGUGACUUCUGCAUAGUCUAUGGCUGUCUGGAUUUUAAGACUCAGACCUACCUUUUUUUUUUUUUUUUUUUUUUCCUUUUAAAGAGUACUGGGGUUUAAAGAGAAAGGCAUGAUAAAAAAUAUGUUGUAAGUAUAGUAAUCAGAUGGACCGUUCCUGCCUUCUGACUUCCUUAAUCUCUCUUACUCUAAAACAGUAUUUCCUCAUCACUGCUGUUGUGAAACAAGAGCGAAGGACUACAGAAAUAACUGUUGUCUGAGGACAAGGAGCUUGACUGAAGGGAAGAACCUGCAUUAACCCUGGAGCUAUUGUCUUUGUCUUUCCCUCUCUGUUUUGUUGAAAGCAUAAAAUCUCUUAAAGCACAAGGAAAUGCCUCAGAAUUGUUCUGGAACCAUUGUAGAUGUGAAGGCUCCGAGACUUGCUACAGUGCUAUGACUUUGCAAGGCCACGUAGCUACAAAAUCACUGGAUGAGGAUGCUGUGUUUUAGGCUCCUAGGACUUUCAAGACCUUUUCGCUGGAGAGAAAAGACUGGUCACUGCAACAGCUUCACCUGCAUUUAAAUGACUGAGCAACAGAAAAGUUUCUAAAGUAGUUUGGGACCUCCUGAUGAGUGGAUUCUGUUCUAUGCCAUCAGUUCUAACAGGCUUUGUUGUCCCUACCAGAAUGCUGAGAUUUUGGAAGAGUGCAGGUUCUUCUCAAAUCAUUCCUGUGCUGCCUGACUUCCACCUUGGAUGAUCCAGUUUUGGACAGUUUUGCUGGCUUCCACUUUAUUCCCACAAGUUCUUCUAACAUGUGUGACUGCAAAAAUGUUUCCUCUGCUUCCAGGUAUCACUCACUUGAUAGUAUGGUGCCUGACAACCAUAUGUCUCUACAGCACCUAACUGUACUUUUGCCUUUUCUUUAAAUCAAUAGGACAGUUAUUGCUUUCAGUACAUUAGAGUGGAACUUCCUCACAAAUAUGUAUUUGUCUGUUUACUGCAAAUCUGUUGUAGGUGGUGCAUCUGUUUUCACGUGCUAUGUCAGAAAAGUUUAUACAUACUUGAAGACUAGAGAGGGAAAAAAAAUUAGCGUGUUGCUGUUAUCUCCUUGUUAAAGCUGAUAAGUCUAAUAUAAAAAAGUGCAUGCUACAGUCACAAAGGCUAGGAGGCUCAGGAAUUUUUAUAUUGCCCAAGCAGACAGAUGAAGUAUAUUUUAUAUGUGAGGAGGUAGGUAAAUACUGGGAUAUUUAUUAUAAUUUAUAAGCCCCAUCAAUAAUAAAAGUUUGAAGUGUAUUAAACUUAGGCUUUAUGUUAAGGUCUUUGUCCUGUUUUCUUGUUACUUCUCACAAAUGCUUCAUCAACCAUCAUAGUCCUGUAAAGUGAUUUCUGUAUAGUAAUCAGAGGUCAUUGUGGAGAACUGUAAUCAGAAUAAAAAUCAGUUUAUAUUUUGUGGACAAAUAAUAAUUAGUUGACUAAGAAGAAGCAAAAACCAUUACACAAUUUCAUGAAAGCCAGAAAGAAGGGACAGAAGUAGAGAGGGGUGAAUGCUUAUCGUUGUAAUAUUAAUAUAUUGUUUACUUUCAGUUCAUGACUUUUGUCAGAGUGCUGUCUUUCUGUUGAAUGGUCUGAAUGUCCUUCUGGCAUAGAUUAGAUUAAUCCUUUUUUUAAAUGUGAGCAAAUACACAUUUACUCAACUGGAGAGGAAAUAAGAUGACAAUUAAACAAGUUCAUGUUUGGGAAGAGUAGAAAGGAGUUUUAUAUUGGUAUUGGCUUUGCAUUUUGAUAAUGCUUUGUGAUGCUUUCUCAUUGCAUGACUCCUACAGGAGAGUGGUGGGUUAUGUGAAGACAAAUGUCUUAGGAACAAAAAGCCUUUUUCUGCCAAAGCUUGAAGAAGGGUCUGUCUCUCUCUUUUUUUUUUUUUUUUUUUUUUUUUUUUUUUUUUUUUUUUUCUUCUCCUCCUGCAAAAAAGUCCAAGAAAACUGCUGACACUCAGAAGAGGAAAACAUGAUUUAUGAUGACAUCAUGUAUUACCCAAGCAAAACUGUUUUGAGGAAGAUUGUUUUUUUAUGGUGUGUUCAAAUAAAGAAACAGUGAAUCAUUCUUGAAAGAAUAUUGGUUCAGAUUCUUCUCCCUUCUAUCACCACCACCCCACCCUUGCUUUUCCUUUUCUACUUUGUCUGUCUUUGGGCAUCUUAAUAUUGAUGCUAGCCACAGAAAGUUGUUAAAUUAUCUUCAGUCCUUAAACAUAGCUUCUUCAUGUGGGUUGAUACAAGAAUAGUGUCUGCCAUGUACCUGGAGGCCAUUCCCAACUGCUUCUGAAUAGUAUUGGUACUGAUUUACUGGCUCCAGCAACAUUUAAUUGCAAACUUUAUUUGGAGGUAGUAAGUUUCCUUUCAGCCUCAUCUCCUAAUGGAAGUUGGUUGUUUUCAAACAAUAUUUCAUUUAUAGUUAUUUGACUUAGUUAAAAUGGCCUUUGUCUAUGAAAUGCUGUAAGACCAGUCUCAAUAUUUGUUCAGAUGAUGUCAUCAGCAACAGAGAAGAAAGCAGAUGAAUAAAAUACAGACGAUAUUCCAAUGUUGAAUAUCUUAAAAAGAAAGCUAACUGGUAAAGUUGGGUAGAUUACAGCAGUUUUAUGGAUAAUGCUAGGAAUUAAGGCUAAAAAGGAGUUGAGGUUCGUUAUGUGAGUGCCAGAAAAGAGGUGAUAACUCACUGAAAGUCUUAGACCGUGACUUGAGCAAAAUUCUCAGACUGAGUACUGGUAUCUGGGCUGAGACACUGGAGGAGCUGAGGAGCUGAGUGUUUGGUAGCUGCUGGGUGUACCAAUGAUUCCGGAGAGGGGGAUGUCACACAAACCUUGUAAAAGUAUUUCCCUUUAAAGUUAGGUCAGAAAUGAACAUUUAUGACUGUUCCAUGAAGUUCUUUUAGUUGUAGUUCUUAACUCUAAGGAAAUACAAAAUGCAGAGAAACAAUUGUGGAGGUGUCCAAAUUGGGGCUUAAUAAUGGUUGGUAUUAGUUGGCCAGUUGCACUCUGCCUAAUGUCUGAGGACCCCAUGCAUCGCUUUUACUGAAAGAACAGCAUAGAUUUAAGUAGCUGCUAUAGAACACAUCUCUUACUAAAAAAAAUAAAGCUCCUAAUGAUACAACCAGAUUCAAGCUGACUGUGAUGCCUGUAUUCAUAUUGAGCAAUGCCUUGUUUUGUGAUUUUUUUUUUUUCCCCUGUCAUGUAGAUUGGGCCUUUGUAUGUAAGUAUGUAAACGUUUUUUCCUAUUAUGUACCCUUCUGAAUAUGCCAUGCAUGCAUUUGCCAUUCCAACUAAUGCUGUUUUGAGAAGCAGGGGCAAGGUUUGCAGUGGGACAUGGCCUUUUCAGAAAACAGUUUGAAACUUGGCAGUUCUGUGUUGCAUCAGGCAAGAUGCUUCCUAUCAGUUCACUGAAAGUGUUUUGCUGCUGCAGAAACAGGAAGAGGAAGGUGCAGCUGUCUCCACAAAAGCAAAAUCUGGACCUUCACGGGUAAGUGGAAGUGUUGCCCAUGAGCAGGGCAGGGGCUUCAGGCUCAUGGUGAAUUCCUAGCUUGUUCGGUGCAAAGCAUCGACUCUUUUGCCUUAACUUUGCCAGGAGUCAGUGCUUUGUAGGGAGCUAAGAGUUAAUGUGUAGUACUUCAUUUCUCUAUAAAGUAAGUGCUGCUGUGUGAUUGGGAGUCCUAUCCCUCAUUUCCCCUCCCUUUGAGCAGUGGUAUGAUAUAUCUUACUUUGUAAUUCUUGAAAAGUCAGCUUGAUUGAUUUUUAUUUAAUAUGUGUUAGGCCCCAACCUUUCCACAGUCUCCUUUUAACCUUGUCAGAUUUCUCUCUGGUGUUCCUUCUCCUAUUUUGAAACAAUUAAACUCUUGUAAUAUAAAGUGAUGUACACCUCAGCUUUGGUAAGUAUUUUUGAGAAACAUAGAGAAACUGGUGUUUGCAGUAAAACCCCCAUUUUUUUCUUGGAGAGACCCUACGUGUUGUGAACAGAUCUGUGAAGACUGAGUCCUUGCAAAAUUUCAGUUGUCCUGUAACUUAUUCAACAGAUUCUAUGUAAAGAUUACAGCAAAGUUAGUAAGAAUCCUGUCAUCAUCCAUAGAAAACAUGUACCAGUGUAUCAUUAGUAGUCUGUCUGUACUAUAAUGUAGACUGUCAUGGCCCUGAAAAGGUGACUGCCUUUUCCUCCAAUUAAAUUAUAGGCUUAUAGCAUGUGCUUAACUAUGUUCUUAAUUGUUUUGUAAUACAGGAGUGAAAUUAAUGUCCUUAUAUGCUUUGCUGAGUCAAGAUCUUGGUGGAUUCCUGUACUCAUGUUUCAUGGUGUUAAGUCUCUACCAAUGUUCGUUCUUUCUGUUAAUAGCGAUAAAGUCACAAAGCAAUUAUACUCUGGCAAGCUGUCCUUUAAUAACCUUUGUCAUUUGUCAGAGUGCAUUAGGCCCUUGAAAAUUUUUACAGACAAGCUAUUGGUCUUCAUGAACUAAUAGAGUGCUCUGAUGUGCCAGCUCAUUUGACUUGCCAAACUGCUGUUAGUUGAGAGGGGAGCUCACGUCAAUUUAAAGAAAUAUUUUACACCUUUUUAUUAGAGCAAAAGAUUUUCAAGCAAGAUUAAAACCUGAUUUAGCAACAAUCAACAAACAAUGCUCAUUUGAACCGUCUCAGCCUUCCAGUCCUACAAAGCUUGUUUUAAGCUUUUCAGUUCUCUUUGGAUGUGAAUGCAGUUUAUGUUAAACUAAAAAAAAUGUAUAAUGAUGUUCAUGUGUUAAAUUUUGGUGGUUUUAUCAUAAGCAUGUAUUUAUAAUGCUACACCUCUGAGUAUUUGGGACUUUGAACACUGCUCGUUACACUACAAAGUUAUAACUCAGUGUGAUUCUGUCUUCUUCAAUGAUAUUUCUUAAAUUAGUGUUAUAACUACAGGGUCUAUUCCUUCUAGUCAUUUACCUUUAUAGUUAUAACUUAUAAAUUUUGGGAUUGGCAUGUUCUUAGGUUACUUUCUGUAAAGGAAAAUAUGUGAGAGGGAAAGAGAGCAACUACCUGUAAAACUGUUUAGUGUUUUGUGAACUGUCUAGUGAUAAGGAUUAAAAAAAGUGAUAAUUCUGUUGCUGUUGUGGUAAUUUAAAUAUAUACAUUUUCAUUUACUCCUGACAACUUCAACAGAGAGCUCUGAUGCUUAGGGUACAUACUACAGCUCUGCUUCAGUGAUUGCUUUCUUCUUGGUUAGAUCAUGUUGAAGCCUGAUGGAUCACUUUGACUUUCUAGAUGUGUACACUCCAGCAUUCAGUUCUUGGGUACACAAGGAGACAGAUUAAAUAUAUAGAAGCCAGACAAAUAAACAUGCUUUGCUGACCUCUGACUGGAGCUGGGAUGUAGCAAUAUAUACACUUUGUAAUAAAAAUAGCCUGUGUUCUUUUGAAAUAUUCAAAUGUAUUUUUAUCAUUGUUACUACUUGGAAAGUAAAGCUUGAACAUAAUCUGCAUCCCAAUAUUUCUAGCUAUUCUGACAGAGUUAGACUAGACACUAUGUAUGUCGUUAAUGAACAAUAUAAUUCACAAAGAAUACAUUUAAAUUGCAAAAAGUUAUUGACUGAUGGAAGUAUUUUGUUUUGUAGUCUCUGCUAUCUUCUUUGAAGCAAACAUUAUUUCUUUUUUUUUAAUUGCUUAUCCCACCUGUGCUACUUCAUUAUUGUAACGAACUGGGUAAAUGACCCAGCAGAGAGAUUUCAGUGUUAAGCUGAUACUGUUUCUGUUACAUCUUCCUUUUUUUGUUGCUUGCAUGAAUAUGCACAUAUAUGUAUUCUGAUGGAGUUCUGUCUCAUUGUUGAGCUGUUAGUCUCAGUAUUGUGUGUGUGUGUGUGUCUUAUUUUUAUUUUACAAAUAUCCAUCUGGCAACUGAAGACAAGUAUUUUGUUGAUGGAUUAGAAAGGUCCAAGGUUCUUGAAGUUUGCAUGUCCUGUGAAAAAGACAGGUCAAUUUUUUCAUUCUGGACAUCUGUCUCUCAUAAGCUCAUAAAUUGCUCUUGAAGCUGGAUAAAAAAAAUACUGAAGGCAGCAUCAUAUUUAAGAGUUUAAAUGUGCUGAUUGGAGUGUCUGAGAGUCUAACCUCAGGCAAAAGGUCUCCAGUUCAGUCUUUUUGACUGAUGUGGAGUGGUCCACUGUUAAUAAUUUAGUUUUGAGACCUACUAAAUGAAAAAUAGGAGACUCAUAGCAUCAGUAUCACUGUUUAUCUUCCCUAGAAAAUAUGAACUGAUUGUAUUUUGAUAUAUGUUUCCAUUCUUUACACAUUUAACUGUUCUCUGUUGUAGCCACUGCAUCUGAUUUUUUUUUUUUUCCUUAAUGAGCAAUGAUUUUAUAUCUACAGAACACAUAGCUUGCCCUGCAGGACCUUAUGUUCAUUUUUAGCUGCUCUGUUUGUGUAGUAAAUA